rfam:Daphnia magna strain Xinb3 scaffold02377, whole genome shotgun sequence.
CAAACGGCCCUUUUCAGGGCCAACACCAUUUUUAGAAACGACGAU